ensembl:snRNA U6 U6 spliceosomal RNA
GUGCUGUCUUGGGUGGCACAUAUACUAAAAUAGGAAUGAUACAAAGAUUGGCAUGGCCCUUGUGCAAGGAUGACGCACAAAUUUGUGAAGCAUUCCACACUUAA